UCUAGAAGUUAUCCCUUUAAUACCACAUGGUGGAUUUGCCAUGGCUUGAUACCAUAGUUGACCAGGAACUUGAGACAUUGGACUAGGUAUUGGACUCCACCCACUCUGAAUUCAUGUCUCUUCUGUCCAGAACAUCCAUGUGUGCCUGGGCAGCCUGUGUGUCCCUGAGGCCUACAUCACGGCCAUCCGUCAGUAUGUGGCCCAGGCCAACAGCUGGUCCCUGGAGGAGUUGUGUCUGGAGGUCAACGUCACCACCACACAGGAGGCCGCAUUCGACGUCUGCAGCUUGGGCAUCAAAGGUCUGAAGCUGCAGGGAGCCACAACAACAACAAGCUCUCUCUCUCCAACUACAUCUCCACUGAGCUGCCACUGACUCAGCUGCGCUGGGUGACGCAGUUGAGCGCUGAGAAGAGGCACAUGGUACUGCUCAUAACAACAUAAAUACUGCACUGUCAACGAAUGUACAAAUGUUAAGCGAUUGAGCUCAAUGCUUUCAUUGGAUUCAAUUCAAUACAACAACUUUAUUUAUCCCCUCCGGGCUAUUGCCAGAUUACAAAUAUCAACUUUCUCCACAUAUAACACCAACCUCACAUUCCCUUAGAAUGUAUCCAAUAAAUAGAUGGCUCAUAGGAAGUCAGUCAAAUACAUACAAUUAAGUUGGGAGCUAUUCCUAGUCUAUAUUGUCCAAAUACCAUACAAAUUGUACUGUCUUAAUGACAUAACACACUUGUAUAUCUCUCAAGCCCACAGGUCACUCUGCCUGUGUAUUUGAACUUCACCCGAGCCGAUCUCAUCUUCACCGUAGACUUUGACAUCGCCACCAAGGAAGACCCUCACAACUUUUACGAGUGUGGCGUGGCAGUGCUCUGCACAGAGUAGUGUCACCAGAAGCCUAGAGAAUUCCUAUUAAUAAAUCAUUCCUAUAAAUAAUUUAUUUGUAGUAUAGUACUCUUAUGAAACAGUUUGUAUGGGUAAUGUCGAUAUGAAACACUUUAUUCAAGUAACUGUAGUUGGAAUAAAAUCUGCAUUUAACAUCCAUUGUAAUUGGGAAGUGGUCAAGGAAGUCUGAGUAAUGUGGUCAGUUGUCUUGUGUAUGGAAAAAAAGGAGGCCCAUGGAAAAUGGGUCAGCUGGUGUAUGGAAAAGGGAAGUUGGAACAAGUUAGGAGAAGGAUUCUGUAUAUUUAUAUGAUGGUGUAAAGAUGUUGGUUAAUGACAGUGUCAUCGUGUAUUUUUAAAAUGAGACUGUUCCAUGAUUUUAGUCUUAACCUUUUCAAAAU
rnacentral:lncRNA from 1 species